rnacentral:rRNA from 1 species
AUUGAACGCUGGCGGCAGGCUUAACACAUGCAAGUCGAGCGGAGCGAGGGUGCUUGCACCUUAGCUUAGCGGCGGACGGGUGAGUAAUGCUUAGGAAUCUGCCUAUUAGUGGGGGACAACAUUCCGAAAGGAAUGCUAAUACCGCAUACGCCCUACGGGGGAAAGCAGGGGAUCUUCGGACCUUGCGCUAAUAGAUGUGCCUAAGUCGGAUUAGCUAGUUGGUGGGGUAAAGGCCUACCAAGGCGACGAUCUGUAGCGGGUCUGAGAGGAUGAUCCGCCACACUGGGACUGAGACACGGCCCAGACUCCUACGGGAGGCAGCAGUGGGGAAUAUUGGACAAUGGGCGGAAGCCUGAUCCAGCCAUGCCGCGUGUGUGAAGAAGGCCUUUUGGUUGUAAAGCACUUUAAGCGAGGAGGAGGCUCUUAAGGUUAAUACCCUUGAUGAGUGGACGUUACUCGCAGAAUAAGCACCGGCUAACUCUGUGCCAGCCGCCGCAGUAAGAC